rnacentral:rRNA from 1 species
UACGUAGGGUGCGAGCGUUGUCCGGAAUUACUGGGCGUAAAGGGCUCGUAGGCGGCCAACUAAGUCGGAUGUGAAAUCCCCAGGCUCAACUUGGGAACUGCAUCCGAUACUGGAUGGCUUGAAUUCGGGAGAGGGAUGCAGAAUUCCAGGUGUAGCGGUGAAAUGCGUAGAUAUCUGGAGGUAUACCGGUGGCGAAGGCGGCAUCCUGGACCGACAUUGACGCUGAGGAGCGAAAGCUAGGGGAGCAAACGGG